UUGACUCAGUUUUGCACGGAGUUGGAACGUUUGCCUGCGUUUGCCGCUAGGGGCGCUGUUCCAACUGCAUACAAAUUUGAUUUA
rfam:Bombyx mori DNA, contig: Bm_scaf92_contig34734, strain: p50T/Dazao, build 2, whole genome shotgun sequence.